rnacentral:tRNA from 1 species
CCAGAAGUAGCUUAGUGGUAAAGCAGCGAUGCGCAUCAUAAAACAGGGAGAGCAAGUCUGCGGUUCGAUUCCGUACUUCUGGAUUG